ACCUUAAAGAUCAUCUCUAUUCAUCUCUUUUAUUUUCAGACGCAAAUAUAUGAAAUAUGAGGGGAGGAGGGGUCCUCAUUAAAAGAGUUGAGCACCUUGACUAUAACUUUUGGAUCUUAACCACAGCUUAAAAGGGGAGAAAAACUCACAAGGAAUAACAGCCUAAAACACUAUGUGAUUAAAUAGCACACUGAAGGAUUUUUGUGUGUUUAUUUUUGGGAUGGACAGAAAGAGGAAUGAAGGAAUUUAACUCAAGGAAGGAGAACGACAGCAGCAAAAUUGAGAUUAGCAAGUAAAGGAAGUGUUGGUGGAAAGGCAGCAAAUUAUUGUGGCAAGAAUUUGGUAUGGAAGAAAUUUGGUGAAAUGGAAAAUGUGUUGAAUUAGGAAAAGGAAAAAUGAAUUCUAGCUGUAUCUCAGUCACUAAGAUUCUCUUACAGCAACACACCCAACUUCUCUGAGUCUCAGUUAUCACAAGAGUGAAAUGAAAGAUCUGAGCUGGAUGAUCCGAGAUGCCUUUCAGUUCUGAAAUGCAGUGUUCUGAAAGCUAACGAGAUUGGAACUGAAAUCUAGCAGUAAUUUAAUUUUAAUACUAUAUUUUAUUUAACCCAGUAUACCCCAAUAUCAUUUCAAUGUGUAAUCAAAAAAUAUUAAAUUUUUGUAUGUCUUUGAAA